rnacentral:rRNA from 1 species
UACGUAGGUGGCGAGCGUUGUCCGGAAUUACUGGGUGUAAAGCGCGCGUAGGCGGGAGGCCACGUCCGCUGUGAAAUCGCCCGGCUCAACUGGGCGCGGUCGGUGGAAACUGGUCACCUGGAGGACGGUAGAGGCGAGUGGAAUUCCCGGUGUAGUGGUGAAAUGCGUAGAGAUCGGGAGGAACACCAGUGGCGAAGGCGGCUCGCUGGGCCGGCCCUGACGCUGAGGCGCGAAGGCGUGGGGAGCGAACGGG